CAGAACUGGAAGGCACAGAGGAGCAGACCUA
rnacentral:piRNA from 1 species